rnacentral:rRNA from 1 species
AUUGCAGGCUGCAACCCGCCUGCAUGAAGUCGGAAUCGCUAGUAAUCGCGAGUCAGCAUAUCGCGGUGAAUACGUUCCCGGGUCUUGUACACACCGCCCGUCACACCAUGGGAGUUGGCAACACCCGAAGUCGAUGAGCUAACCGUAAGGAGGCAGUCGCCUAAGGUGGGGUUGAUAACUGGGGUGAAGUCGUAACAAGGUACC